GCCCGGGAACCGAAAGAGGAAAUGGCUGAGGCGGGAUGGAGCUGAGGCACCUCUGGUUGCUCUGCUGCUGCUGCUGCUGCUGCUGCGGCCCCGGCGCCCAGACCGCGACCCCGACCCCGCCGCGGGGCCGCCACCCUCCGGCCGCCUUCCGGGAAAGCCUUAACAGACAUCGAUAUUUGAAUUCUUUAUUUCCUCGUGAAAACUCCACUGCCGUCUACGGAAUAAACCAGUUUUCUUAUUUGUUUCCUGAAGAGUUUAAAGCCAUUUAUUUAAGAAGCAGAGCUUCCAGAUUUCCCAGAUACCCAGCAGACGUGCAGAAAGCCAUCCCUAACGUGUCUUUGCCGCUAAGAUUUGACUGGAGGGACAAGCAUGUUGUAACACAAGUGAGAAACCAGCAGGCGUGCGGCGGCUGCUGGGCUUUCAGCGUGGUGGCGGCCGCCGAGUCCGCGCGCGCCAGGGCGGGGCAGCCUCUGGAGGCCCUGAGUGUCCAGCAGGUCAUCGACUGUUCCUACGACAACUACGGCUGCAGCGGAGGGUCCACGCUCAGCGCCCUGAACUGGCUCAGUAAGAUGCAAGUAAAGCUGGUGAGCGACUUGGAAUACCCGUUUACAGCCCAAAACGGCCUGUGCCGCUACUUUCCAGCUUCACAUUCUGGAUUUUCAAUCAAAGGUUAUUCCGCGUACAACUUCAGUGACCAAGAAGACGAAAUGGCAAAAGUGCUCCUUACCUCAGGCCCCCUGAUAGUGAUAGUGGAUGCAGUGAGCUGGCAGGAUUACCUGGGCGGCAUCAUACAGCAUCACUGCUCCAGCGGGGAGGCGAAUCACGCCGUUCUCGUGACUGGCUUUGACCGAACAGGAAGUCCUCCAUAUUGGAUUGUGCGGAACUCAUGGGGAAGUUCGUGGGGAGUUGACGGCUAUGCCCACGUUAAAAUGGGAGGUAACGUUUGUGGCAUUGCGGAUUCUGUUUCUGCUGUGUUCGUGUGAGUUCGAGAGACGGCUGCCAACCUGGAGGUUCAUGUGGCAUACUUGCGGUAGGAUUGGAGAGGUGACAAGAACUUCUUUUCCUCAUGGAAUACAGUCGCCAGCCCCAACCGCCCAUGUACAUGAGAACAGCCAGCCUUGAAGGAUGUGUGCCUCUCACAGUUGCAUGCGCGGCCCUCCGAGAUUUCUGCAGGUGGUUUUAGUCUGAUUCAUCGCUGCUGAAGUAGGAGCUGUCACAGUACUCAGCCGUGUAAAGGAACUUAUGAACAAUUGGGUUCAUCUUCGGAAUCCAGUGUCGGGGAACCAGAUACGUCGAAAGAUUAAAUAAAUCUACAAAUACCUUGUACCUGUCACUGGAAAAACACAUGUAUACAGAUGUUUUAGACUUACUGGCAUGGAAUAUGUCAACUCUUGGCAGUUUUAUAGCGGAAGAACACUUGUCUUUGGAGUCAAAAUUGGAUUCAAAUUUCGCUCUGUCCCUUACACCUCACCUGACGUCACCUGGGACAAGUUGUCUAAACCGCAGUGUGUGUUUGGGUUUCUAACUCUGGAAAAUAAAAUCUAAGGUCCGGCCAGGCCUCCGGGGAGAUUUAACGGGGCGGAGACACCCUAGGGACGCCGUCUGUGUUCAUCACCCCCACCGCCCAGAGGUGUGGCUCCUUUUGUGCCAACGGUCAUCUGCGUCUCACGCUUGCAGAGUAUAUCCAGGGAAAGUGACAGUGUAUAAAAAUGAUGAGAAUGCCGCCUGUGCAUAACGUGGUCAACCUGGUAGUAAGGGCAGGGAUGAAAACAGCGCACCGUAAAGAAUUUGGGGGCCAAAUGUGCGCAUCUAAUUUAUUCCGCAGCUGAGUCCCCUUUCCCAGGGGGCCUUGUAGUUUUCCCAGUUUUCGACUGUGUCUCCCUGUUCGUAUAUCCAUCUAUUUUUAUAAUAUUGUGGAUCCUAAGUAAAAUAAGGACACGGAUGUCCUAGAAAUCUCUCUGGCACAUGUUAAGGUCUCAGCCCACGUGGACCUCUUUUCCUUGUAAACAGUAUGAAAAGGGCACUGUCCGGAGUGAACGGGAGCAGAUUUUAUGCUCUGACGUAGAGUCAUAUUGGCAAACAAGGGACAGUUUUUCAGCUGUGUCAUUCGUCUGGCCAGGAGGACAUGAGUGGAAUUAGCGACAGCUGUCUUAGUCUUGCCCAGACUUGAGCCAGAACGAGUUGAGAACGGUUCUCCUUGGAUUAACUCGUUCGCAUCCGCGUAGAUCAUGCGGCCUUCGGUACCAUGCCUGCCUUUCAUCACAGGACCAAAGCGAUGACCGUCUGAGCGAAGGAUCUUUACCAUGACCUCCGAAGGCUCCAACAGGAAUACUUAACCCAACUAGAAGUGUGUCCCAGCAGUUCAGGCCGGAGCAAGUGUAAAUGAGGUUCCCCGAUGAUGCACGUGGACUCCCCCCAGAUCCGGAGGUGAACUCCCCGCUUACCUGACUGUGGAGCGCAGGUACUGGUAGCCCGAGGACCCCCCGGUGCCGGCUUUGCUGCCCAGCAUCCGGUGCACCAUGCACACGUGGUUGUCUAGACAGACACACAGACUAAGUCCCUGGACAUUUUCUGCCGGAUAUUCCACGUGGCUCUGAACCCGAGGGCUGGCGGUGAUUGCUGCUCCCGAGAGCAGGCUCGCACCUUAUCGCCCAGCCGCGUGGGAGGUGCGGUGGCGCCCCAAGGGCCCCGCAGGUGCGCGGGCUGCCUGCCCGUGACUCCAGCCACCCUCACAUUAGUCUGAACACCGCGACUUUCAUGAGCCCCUCCUCACUCUGCCUUUAGGAUACACUUCGUCCAUUUGAAAAAAAAAACAAAAAACCCAAAACUAUUGAAAAUACAUUUUAAAAUUGUAUUGACACAAAAUGAAUAAAUCUCUAUGAUCUAUUAAAGCAUUUUCU